rfam:Glossina brevipalpis unplaced genomic scaffold Scaffold187, whole genome shotgun sequence.
GUAGAUUUAGUACGUAGGCACCAUGGAUGAUGAAUCGUGCAUGCUACUGACACAGGCCGGUAGUAUCUUUGGAAGAUUCUUAUC